rnacentral:rRNA from 1 species
UACGGAGGGUGCGAGCGUUGUCCGGAAUCAUUGGGCGUAAAGGGCGCGUAGGUGGCCCGGUCAGUCUUUGGUGAAAGCGCGGGGCUCAACCCUGCGUCGGCCAGGGAUACUGCCGCGGCUCGAGCACUGUAGAGGCAGGCGGAAUUCCGGGUGUAGCGGUGGAAUGCGUAGAGAUCCGGAAGAACACCGGUGGCGAAGGCGGCCCACUGGAUCGGUACUGACGCUGAGGUGCGAAAGCGUGGGGAGCAAACAGG